GGGGAUUUAGCUCAGCGGCAUAAGCACCUGCCUUGGAAGCAGGCGGUCAUGAGUUCAAUCCCCG
rfam:Cavia porcellus supercont2_78 genomic scaffold, whole genome shotgun sequence.